rnacentral:rRNA from 1 species
GAUGAACGCUGGCGGCGUGCCUAAUACAUGCAAGUCGAGCGAACGGACGAGAAGCUUGCUUCUCUGAUGUUAGCGGCGGACGGGUGAGUAACACGUGGAUAACCUACCUAUAAGACUGGGAUAACUUCGGGAAACCGGAGCUAAUACCGGAUAAUAUUUUGAACCGCAUGGUUCAAAAGUGAAAGACGGUCUUGCUGUCACUUAUAGAUGGAUCCGCGCUGCAUUAGCUAGUUGGUAAGGUAACGGCUUACCAAGGCAACGAUGCAUAGCCGACCUGAGAGGGUGAUCGGCCACACUGGAACUGAGACACGGUCCAGACUCCUACGGGAGGCAGCAGUAGGGAAUCUUCCGCAAUGGGCGAAAGCCUGACGGAGCAACGCCGCGUGAGUGUUGAAGGUCUUCGGAUCGUAAAACUCUGUUAUUAGGGAAGAACAUAUGUGUAAGUAACUGUGCACAUCUUGACGGUACCUAAUCAGAAAGCCACGGCUAACUACGUGC